rnacentral:tRNA from 1 species
GCCCAGAUGUGAGGUGCCGGAACGGCCUCCGGAGCCGUGUGCGCAGGUUCGAAUCCUGCCGGGGGCACCC